rnacentral:rRNA from 1 species
AGUGAACGCUGGCGGUAGGCCUAACACAUGCAAGUCGAACGGCAGCACAGUAAGAGCUUGCUCUUACGGGUGGCGAGUGGCGGACGGGUGAGGAAUACAUCGGAAUCUACUUUUUCGUGGGGGAUAACGUAGGGAAACUUACGCUAAUACCACAUACGACCUACGGGUGAAAGCAGGGGAUCUUCGGACCUUGCGCGAUUGAAUGAGCCGAUGUCGGAUUAGCUAGUUGGCGGGGUAAAGGCCCACCAAGGCGACGAUCCGUAGCUGGUCUGAGAGGAUGAUCAGCCGCACUGGAACUGAGACACGGUCCAGACUCCUACGGGAGGCAGCAGUGGGGAAUAUUGGACAAAGGGCGCAAGCCUGAUCCAGCCAUACCGCGUGGGUGAAGAAGGCCUUCGGGUUGUAAAGCCCUUUUGUUGGGAAAGAAAAGCAGCAGGUUAAUACCCCGCUGUUCUGACGGUACCCAAAGAAUAAGCACCGGCUAACUUCGUG